CAGCAGCCGCGGUAAUACGUAGGUGGCAAGCGUUGUCCGGAAUUAUUGGGCGUAAAGGGCUCGCAGGCGGUUUCUUAAGUCUGAUGUGAAAGCCCCCGGCUCAACCGGGGAGGGUCAUUGGAAACUGGGAAACUUGAGUGCAGAAGAGGAGAGUGGAAUUCCACGUGUAGCGGUGAAAUGCGCAGAGAUGUGGAGGAACACCAGUGGCGAAGGCGACUCUCUGGUCUGUAACUGACGCUGAGGAGCGAAAGCGUGGGGAGCGAACAGGAUUAGAGACCCCUGUAGUCCCUGUCUCUUAUAC
rnacentral:rRNA from 1 species